CCGUGAUUAAAUUAAAUUCAAACCAGACAAUACCCGUCAGGCAUUGUCUGCUGAAGAAGUGGUAUCAACCCGCAGGGCGUCUGGCGGUAAUCCGAUACUUAAAAUAACCGGCUGCCAGCUUUGACGACGGCUAAAGGCCGGAGAUAAACCUUUCGCCAACAGGAACCCGCCCACACCGCCUAAAAGAGCGCCCGCCAUGGCUGCCAGAUCGGUGUGAAACAGCAUCUGGAAAAGACCUGCGACAAUAAAUAAGCCUACCAGGGGAGACAUAUAAACUAAUAGCGCAGAGCCCAACAAACUGCCUUCUGCAAUGCCAAGCUCAACUUUUUGCCCUGCAACCAGAGGAUGAUCGCAGGGUACAGUAAUUGAAUGGCUGGUCCGGGGGCCGAGUUUAUUCAGGAUGCGGCUGCCGCAACCGGCACGGGAUGCACAGCUGCUGCACGACGCUUUAACAUCACAACUGACCACCGCUUCGCCGUUCUGCCACGAGACUACCGUGGCCCAUUCUUUCAUCAUUGCGUAGAAGCCCUAAAUUUUACGCUGUCG
rnacentral:antisense_RNA from 1 species